GUAUUGAUUGCGUGUGACCGCAAAAAUGAACAUUCUACACUGUAUCGAGUUUUAUGUGAAAACGCAGGCCCUCCCACAAAGGGGAGGACCCACGCGGUGAUGCACAAAGGGGUGAGAUGGAUUGUGUGAGAGUGCUCGGGCGUGCACGACCUUUAAAAGGUCAGCGACAGCCCUUGCACCUCGGUUAUACAAUAAUGAUCCUUCCGCAGGUUCACCUACGGAAA
rnacentral:misc_RNA from 1 species